UACGGAGGGUGCAAGCGUUAUCCGGAUUCACUGGGUUUAAAGGGUGCGUAGGUGGGUCUGUAAGUCCGUGGUGAAAUCUCCAAGCUUAACUUGGAAACUGCCAUGGAUACUAUAGGUCUUGAAUACCGUGGAGGUGAGCGGAAUAUGUCAUGUAGCGGUGAAAUGCUUAGAUAUGACAUAGAACACCAAUUGCGAAGGCAGCUCACUACACGAAUAUUGACUCUGAGGCACGAAAGCGUGGGGAUCAAACAGG
rnacentral:rRNA from 1 species